UUGGCUUUGUUUGCUGGGCCACCUGCUAAUAAUGGAGAUGGGUCAUGGGAAGCAUUCCCAUCUAAUGGAGAGCCUCAGGUGACCUCAGCUUGGCAGAACCCAGCCGCUGAACCUGACAAGGCAGAUUGGGAAUUGGCACUGGUUGAAUCGGCCAGCAAUCUAUCGAAGCAAAAGGCAACAUUGGGAGGUGGGUUUGAUCCAUUGUUGUUAAAUGGCAUGUAUGAUCAAGGAAUGGUGAGGCAACAUACUAAUACUACACAAUUGAGCGGAGGUAGUGCUAGCAGUGUGGCAUUGCCAGGGCCAGGGAAGAGUGCUACACCUGUUUUGGCUCUUCCAGCUCCAGAUGGAACAGUUCAGACAGUUAAUCAGGAUCCUUUUGCUGCUUCUUUGAGCAUUCCACCUCCUUCUUAUGUGCAAAUGGCUGAUAUGGAGAAGAAACAACAUUUGCUUGUCCAGGAGCAGCUAGUGUGGCAGCAAUAUGCGAAGGAUGGAAUGCAAGGCCAAUCAAGUUUGGCCAAGAUCAGCGGCACUGGAUACUACACUGCAGCACCAGGGCCUAUGCCAAUGAUGCCUUAUGGAAUGCCACCAGUGAACGGAAUGGGGCCACC
rnacentral:misc_RNA from 1 species